AUGACGGAGUACAUGCGGUUCCGCUUCGUGUGCUCGCACUGGCGCGCGUCGACGGUCAGCCCGCGGGACGCCACGCUGGCCGCCCGCCGCUUCCACCCGCGUGGCUGGGUCGCCCUCUGCGACGGCAACGGCGUCCGCCCGGUCGAAGACGCCGCGAUCACCUUCUUCCACACGGCCACCAGCAGGGUUUCCAGGCUCUCCCUGCCGGGGCUCCGGCGGCACCGGAUCGUCGGCUUCACUGACGGCCUCCUAAUCGUGCUUGACACGCGCGCCGCAGUCAUCCGUGUUGUCCACCCCUUCACCCGCGUCGUCGUCGAGCUGCCCCACCUGGCCACCUUCAUCCACUGUGUGCUCAGCAAGCAGGAAUCGUUCACCAUGGACUCGUUCGUCUGGAUGAACGCCACGGUGUGUGUCGCCGGCCCCAGCUCCAUUGCCGUCGUGAUCUGGUUCCCCAACAUGCCCUUGGUGAUCUGCGCUCAGCCCGGUGACAAGGGCUGGAAGAUCAUCCACACCAAUAUCCAAUUCUCCAACACUUUGCCGUUCAACGGCGGGCUAUACGGUGUGACGCGAGCUGGGAGGCAGCUGGUGCAGGUGUAUCCAGUUCAUCAUGAUCCGCAUGCCAAUCUGGUGGUGGCCGAGGUGCCAAAAGAGCUUGGUUAUGCUGAGAGCUACCUCUACUACCUUGUGGAGUCCAUGGGAGCCAUGCUUGUCGCCGUCGGGAGCUCGUGCGGGUGA
rnacentral:rRNA from 1 species